rnacentral:rRNA from 1 species
AAUCAACGCUGGCGGCGUGCCUCAGACAUGCAAGUCGAACGAUUAAAGCUCCCUUCGGGGAGUGCAUAAAGUGGCGCACGGGUGAGUAACACGUAAGUAAUCUACCUUUGAGUGGGGAAUAACGUUCGGAAACGGACGCUAAUACCGCAUAACGCAGCGGCACCGCAAGGUGACAGUUGUUAAAGGAGCAAUCCGCUUAAAGAGGAGCUUGCGGCAGAUUAGCUUGUUGGUAAGGAACGGCUUACCAAGGCUACGAUCUGUAUCCGGUCUAAGAGGACGGUCGGACACACUGACACUGAAUAACGGGUCAGACUCCUACGGGAGGCAGCAGUCGGGAAUUUUGGG